rnacentral:rRNA from 1 species
AGGGUUCGAUUCUGGCUCAGGACGAACGCUGGCGGCGUGCCUAACACAUGCAAGUCGAACGGACGAGGGGAGCUUGCUCCCCGAGUUAGUGGCGAACGGGUGAGUAACGCGUGAGUAACCUGCCUCGGAGAGGGGGACAACAGCCGGAAACGGCUGCUAAUACCGCAUGACGUCAUAUGGAGGCAUCUCCGUAUGACCAAAGAUUUAUCGCUCUGAGAUGGACUCGCGUCCGAUUAGAUAGUUGGCGGGGCAACGGCCCACCAAGUCGACGAUCGGUAGCCGGACUGAGAGGUUGAACGGCCACAUUGGGACUGAGAUACGGCCCAGACUCCUACGGGAGGCAGCAGUGAGGAAUAUUGGGCAAUGGGCGAAAGCCUGACCCAGCAACGCCGCGUGAAGGAAGUAAGGUUUUCGGAUUGUAAACUUCUUUUCUUCGGGACGAAAAAUGACGGUACCGAAGGAAUAAGCCACGGCUAACUACGUGCCAGCCGCUGC